GAUGAACGCUGGCGGCGUGCUUAACGCAUGCAAGUCGAACGGAAAGGCCAGUGCUUGCACUGGUGCUCGAGUGGCGAACGGGUGAGUAACACGUGGGUGAUCUGCCCUGCACUUUGGGAUAAGCCUGGGAAACUGGGUCUAAUACCAGAUAGGACCAUGCUUUGGAUGGUGUGGUGGAAAGUUUUUUCGGUGUGGGAUGAGCUUGCGGCCUAUCAGCUUGUUGGUGGGGUAAUGGCCUACCAAGGCGUCGCCGGGUAGCCGGCCUGAGAGGGUGUACGGCCACAUUGGGACUGAGGUACGGCCCAGAUUCCUACGGGAGGCAGCAGUGGGGAAUAUUGCACAAUGGGCGCAAGCCUGAUGCAGCGACGCCGCGUGGGGGAUGACGGCCUUCGGGUUGUAAACUCCUUUCGCAACUGACGAAGCUUUUUGUGACGGUAGGUUGAGAAGAAGCACCGGCUAACUACGUG
rnacentral:rRNA from 1 species